GGGCUUGUAGCGCAGUGGUAGCGCGUUCGCUUUGCAUUGAACAUGUUUCAUGAUUGCGAAAGGUCUGGGUUUCGAUCACCCACUAGUCCA